GACGAACGCUGGCGGCGUGCUUAACACAUGCAAGUCGAACGGAAAGGCCCUGCUUUUGUGGGGUGCUCGAGUGGCGAACGGGUGAGUAACACGUGAGUAACCUGCCCUUGACUUUGGGAUAACUUCAGGAAACUGGGGCUAAUACCGGAUAGGAGCUCCUGCUGCAUGGUGGGGGUUGGAAAGUUUCGGCGGUUGGGGAUGGACUCGCGGCUUAUCAGCUUGUUGGUGGGGUAGUUGCUUACCAAGGCUUUGACGGGUAGCCGGCCUGAGAGGGUGACCGGCCACAUUGGGACUGAGAUACGGCCCAGACUCCUACGGGAGGCAGCAGGGGGGAAUAUUGCACAAUGGGCGGAAGCCUGAUGCAGCAACGCCGCGUGCGGGAUGACGGCCUUCGGGUUGUAAACCGCUUUCGCCUGUGACGAAGCGUGAGUGACGGUAAUGGGUAAAGAAGCACCGGCUAACUACGUG
rnacentral:rRNA from 1 species